rnacentral:misc_RNA from 1 species
UGGGCUUGACAUGUUCGUGACAGGUGUGGAAACACACCCUCCCUUCGGGGCACGAUCACAGGUGGUGCAUGGCUGUCGUCAGCUCGUGUCGUGAGAUGUUGGGUUAAGUCCCGCAACGAGCGCAACCCCCGUCGCAUGUUGCCAGCAUUUAGUUGGGGACUCAUGCGAGACUGCCGGUGACAAACCGGAGGAAGGUGGGGAUGACGUAGCGGCAUUAGCCA